rnacentral:misc_RNA from 1 species
AUCUGUCGGCCAAGAUGGCUUCCUGAGCAGUGAUCAAUUUUAAAGGCAGCUGUUUAUUGAAUGCCUUGCCUUUGAUUGACUUGCAAUGAAUACUUAGGUUUAUUUCAUGAGAGUGUUAUUUCCAAUUGUUGUUUUUUCGCCUGAUUCCAAGGUGUACAGUUAACAAUGCUGGAAAAUUACCUAGUUCAUUUCCUGACUACAAGAACAUCUAAGGACAAUAUUUAAGAAGCAAGAUGUCUGUAAAAGGUGACGAAGAUCUUUCAAAACGUACGCUAUGGGAGAGAUUGAAGGAACCCUUCUACAAAGAAAGUACUAGAAUGUUGGAGAAUGGUGAAUCUGAAGAAGAAACUGUUUGGCAGAGAGUAGAAGCAUUAUUUGAAAUCAGACAGAGUGAUGAGCAUCUUGAUAAAGAUGGAUGGCAUAAAUUCUUGAAAGCAUGUUUUAAAUUAAGAGGCUAUGAAAAGGGACUUUGUCCAGAGAUGGAACAAAUAAGAACAGUCAUGUUUACAACAACUGUUUUUGCCUUUGUCUUUGAUGGUCGGUUUGGUUAUCGAAUAGUAGAUGACAGCUUUCAACGACACAACCAGUUGACUGUGUAUGAAUCUGUAAUGCACGCUCAGCAUCGCUAUCAUGCAUCUGUAGUUGUGGGAUUUGUUAAGUAUGGAUGGCACUGGGGAUGGAGAGCUGGUACCUUUGUGGGUGUUUAGAGCUUUCUUAUGGUAGCACUGGAGGCUUAUUGCAACAGACAUGAUGCACUGAAUUUUAUGGCCAGUGAAGCCUCAACAGGUGUUCUGCAUAACAUCUUUUCUGGGAGGCAUAAAAUGGCUGUUGGGGCAGCAUUUGAUGGGGAUUUAAGAUUGGCAAGUUUUGUUGAAAACAAAAUGAACUGACUGUAGUACUUAACAUGAUACAGACAAUAGAACAAAGUAUUUAGAAAAGUUUUAUUAUUUUUGCCUUGACAAAAACUGUGGGUCAUUUACUCUUUCCCCUCUAAGAGUGACUAACAUUUAAUAUCUCCUUACACUGUCCCCCCCCCCUGAAUCACACAUUGAGGUCAGGAGAAUAAAGGAAAUGAUCACCAACUAAAGAUGCU